AUUCCUCUUUCAAUUUUCGUUCUCUUUGAAAUUGAGCUCUUGCUAAUGCUUUUAGUAAGAGGUAUACUUAGUUUCAUGCAGAAGCAAUUUUUUUUAUAUAAAAAAAAUCAUAAUUCACGUAUCAUGCACAUGUACGGGUGUAUGCAAUAUUAUCAACCUUAUGGAAUUGUUAUUGCAUGUAUAAAGCAAACAAGGUAUUUUACAAUUUUUGAUGAAAAUAACACAUGGGAGCAAGGUUUUAAACAAGGGUUGCAGUCGUGUUGCGGUGCGUACGGUCAUCGGUCAGUAGAGGUGUUACGACACUUGUUGUGGUCCUCGCGAUACCGUUUUUUUGCGACCGAGUUCCGUUUUUAAAAUGGAAUGCAACCAUGUAGAAUCGACAUAAGGCAUCUAUAUACAAAUCAAAGAUGAAGGAAUUAGGCAU